ensembl:snRNA U6 U6 spliceosomal RNA
GUGAGAUGUGGCACGUAUACUAAAGUUGGAACGAAACCGAGAAGAUAAGCAUGACCCUCUGUAAGGAUGACAUGCAAAUCUGUGAAGCGUUCCAUAUUUGU